AGUGAACGCUGGCGGUAGGCCUAACACAUGCAAGUCGAACGGCAGCACAGUAAGAGCUUGCUCUUACGGGUGGCGAGUGGCGGACGGGUGAGGAAUACAUCGGAAUCUACUUUUUCGUGGGGGAUAACGUAGGGAAACUUACGCUAAUACCGCAUACGACCUACGGGUGAAAGCAGGGGAUCUUCGGACCUUGCGCGAUUGAAUGAGCCGAUGUCGGAUUAGCUAGUUGGCGGGGUAAAGGCCCACCAAGGCGACGAUCCGUAGCUGGUCUGAGAGGAUGAGCAGCCACGCUGGAACUGAGACACGGUCCAGACUCCUACGGGAGGCAGCAGUGGGGAAUAUUGGACAAUGGGCGCAAGCCUGAUCCAGCCAUACCGCGUGGGUGAAGAAGGCCUUCGGGUUGUAAAGCCCUUUUGUUGGGAAAGAAAAGCAGCAGGUUAAUACCCCGCUGUUCUGACGGUACCCAAAGAAUAGGCACCGGCUAACUUCGUG
rnacentral:rRNA from 1 species